rnacentral:rRNA from 1 species
GAUCAUGGCUCAGAACGAACGCUGGCGGCGUGGAUUAGGCAUGCAAGUCGAACGGGACUUUAUGUUGUAGCAAUACUUUAUAAAGUCUAGUGGCGUAAGGGUGAGUAACACGUGGGUAAUGUACCCGAUAGUUUGGGAUAACGUUCCGAAAGGGACGCUAAUACCGGAUGUGAUGUUAGACCGCCGGGUUUAACAAGAAAGGUGGGGACCGCAAGGCCUGCCGCUAACGGAACGGCCCGCGACCUAUUAGCUAGUUGGUGGGGUAAAGGCCUACCAAGGCGAGGAUGGGUAGCCGAACUGAGAGGUUGACCGGCCACACUGGGACUGAGACACUGCCCAGACUUCUACGGAGGGCUGCAGUCGAGAAUCAUUCACAAUGGACGAAAGUCUGAUGAUGCGACGCCGCGUGCGCGAUGAAGGUCUUCGGAUUGUAAAGCGCUUUGAACAGGGAAGAAUGCCGCGUAUUUAAUAGAUAACGCGGAGGGACAGUACCUGACAAACAAGCCCCGGCUAAUUUCGUGCCAGCCGCGGC